UACGGAGGAUUCGAGCGUUAUCCGGAUUUAUUGGGUUUAAAGGGUGCGUAGGCGGAUCGUUAAGUCAGUGGUCAAAUUGAGGGGCUCAACCCCUUCCCGCCAUUGAAACUGGCGAUCUUGAGUGGAAGAGAAGUAUGCGGAAUGCGUGGUGUAGCGGUGAAAUGCAUAGAUAUCACGCAGAACCCCGAUUGCGAAGGCAGCAUGCCGGCUUCCUACUGACGCUGAAGCACGAAAGCGUGGGGAGCAAACAGG
rnacentral:rRNA from 1 species